rnacentral:rRNA from 1 species
CGUAGGGUGCAAGCGUUAAUCGGAAUUACUGGGCGUAAAGCGUGCGCAGGCGGUUUUGUAAGUCAGAUGUGAAAUCCCCGAGCUCAACUUGGGAACUGCGUUUGAAACUACAAGACUAGAAUAUGUCAGAGGGGGGUAGAAUUCCACGUGUAGCAGUGAAAUGCGUAGAGAUGUGGAGGAAUACCAAUGGCGAAGGCAGCCCCCUGGGAUAAUAUUGACGCUCAUGCACGAAAGCGUGGGGAGCAAACAGGAUUAGAUACCCUGGUAGUCCACGCCCUAAACGAUGUCUACUAGUUGUUGGUGGAGUAAAAUCCAUGAGUAACGCAGCUAACGCGUGAAGUAGACCGCCUGGGGAGUACGGUCGCAAGAUUA